rnacentral:rRNA from 1 species
UGGGGAAUUUUGGACAAUGGGCGAAAGCCUGAUCCAGCAAUGCCGCGUGUGUGAAGAAGGCCUUCGGGUUGUAAGGCACUUUUGUCCGGAAAGAAAUCCUUGGCUCUAAUACAGUCGGGGGAUGACGGUACCGGAAGAAUAAGCACCGGCUAACUACGUGCCAGCAGCCGCGGUAAUACGUAGGGUGCAAGCGUUAAUCGGAAUUACUGGGCGUAAAGCGUGCGCAGGCGGUUUGCUAAGACCGAUGUGAAAUCCCCGGGCUCAACCUGGGAACUGCAUUGGUGACUGGCAGGCUAGAGUAUGGCAGAGGGGGGUAGAAUUCCACGUGUAGCAGUGAAACGCGUAGAGAUGUGGAGGAAUACCGAUGGCGAAGGCAGCCCCCUGGGCCAAUACUGACGCUCAUGCACGAAAGCGUGGGGAGCAAACAGGAUUAGAUACCCUGGUAGUCCACGCCCUAAACGAUGUCAACUAGUUGUUGGGGAUUCAUUUCCUUAGUAACGUAGCUAACGCGUGAAGUUGACCGCCUGGGGAGUACGGUCGCAAGAUUAAAACUCAAAGGAAUUGACGGGGUCAUAGCUGUUUCCU